GCAUUUUCGAGCCAAAAGUGCGAAGCACCUACGCGGAAAAAUCAGUUCACUGGACUGAUUUCUGGUCCCGCUUCGAUGCUUGAGGCAAAUGCGGCCAGGAAAGGUAUGCAUUUCG
rnacentral:misc_RNA from 1 species